CCCAGACUGAGCUGGCGGUGAGUGGAGUCUGAGGUCGCUGUGGACUGCCCACUGGAUUGAGAAAAAUGAGGUCCUCUUUCUAGAGUACCUGGCAGGUUGCUUGGCAUCCAGAAGAUGUUUAGCUAAGUUAAGAGUUUUCUUCUUUCUUCCUUCUCUCCUCCAACCUUAACACCUAGAUGUGGGCUGGGCCUGUAGACUGCCUUGGAAUGGGUUGGAGCUGCUUUCUGAAACUUGUUGGGCUGCUCUCCCUUUUGAACCACUUUUUGUCUGUUCUGAUUCACUCUUCCAGGGCCUUGCCCGAGAUGGACAGCCGUAUUCCUUAUGAUGACUACCCGGUGGUUUUCUUGCCUGCCUAUGAGAAUCCUCCAGCAUGGAUUCCUCCUCAUGAGAGGGUACACCACCCAGACUACAACAAUGAGUUGACCCAGUUUCUGCCCCGAACCAUCACACUGAAGAAGCCUCCUGGAGCUCAGUUGGGAUUUAACAUCCGAGGAGGAAAGGCCUCCCAGCUAGGCAUCUUCAUCUCCAAGGUGAUUCCUGACUCUGAUGCACAUAGAGCAGGACUUCAGGAAGGGGACCAAGUUCUAGCUGUGAAUGAUGUGGAUUUCCAAGAUAUUGAGCACAGC
rnacentral:sRNA from 1 species